rnacentral:snRNA from 1 species
GUGUUCACUUUGGCAGCACAUAUACUAAAAUUGGCCCAAUACAGAUGAAAUUAGCAUGGCCCCUGUGCAAAGAUGACACACAAAUUUGUGAAGUGUUCCAUAUUUUU